rnacentral:rRNA from 1 species
AUUGAACGCUGGCGGCAUGCUUUACACAUGCAAGUCGAACGGCAGCACGGGGGCAACCCUGGUGGCGAGUGGCGAACGGGUGAGUAAUGCAUCGGAACGUACCCAGUCGUGGGGGAUAACGCAGCGAAAGUUGUGCUAAUACCGCAUACGACCUGAGGGUGAAAGCGGGGGACCGUAAGGCCUCGCGCGAUUGGAGCGGCCGAUGUCUGAUUAGCUAGUUGGUGGGGUAAAGGCCCACCAAGGCGACGAUCAGUAGCGGGUCUGAGAGGAUGAUCCGCCACACUGGGACUGAGACACGGCCCAGACUCCUACGGGAGGCAGCAGUGGGGAAUUUUGGACAAUGGGGGCAACCCUGAUCCAGCCAUGCCGCGUGCGGGAAGAAGGCCUCGGUUGUAACCGCUUUCGGACGGAAGAAAUACGCAUGGGUUAAUACCUCGUGUGGAUGACGGUACCGUAAGAAGAAGCACCGGCUAACUACGUG